GAGGAGAGAGUCAUAUCUUUCUGCUGUGUUUUCAGUCAUUACUAGCAUUGAACAGGGACAAGUGAGUGCAGCCAUGUGCCAAUGUAGCUGACACCCUCUAUGCAAUGAGCAGCAACAAUGUGAGGGCUUCUUCCCCUUUCUCACUGCACAGCCAACCUCCAUCUUUCACAAGUGUCUGGUGCUCUCUCCAAGAAGCAGCAUGGUUCAAGAUUUGCAUGCCUGCACUCUGGGCUCACUGGAGGUGAUCUGGAAGCUACUUCUCAGAUUACAUCAUGUUACCAAAUGCAGACUCUACUCAUUAGUGUGCUUUUCAACCAAAACCUUGUAUCCUUUGCCAGAUCCAAAUCAGCUUAAAGAAAUCACUUCUAAAAACCAAGACUCUUUCCUUUGGUGAUCCCAUAAGCUCCCAUGCAGUUUGCCGCUCUUCAGACAAGACACUCCAUCUCCUAAGGCAAAGCUAUCAAUUGGAAAAGGAGAAUCAUGGAAACCUGCUCUUCAGGGAGGAUGAAAAAAAAAUGGCAACCAGCAAAGCAAUGAAGGCAAUCUUAAUUUCUUCCUCUUAUCUCUGACAAGGACAAUGAUCUAUAAACUAGAAAGGACAAAGAAAUAGUUGAUAGGUGUUGAUGCACAGAAGAAGUAAGAGAGCAUCUAAGUGCCUUUGAUGUGUUCAAGUCUUCUAGUCCAGAUGGACUGCAUUCUAGGCUACUGCAAAGCUAGCAGAUGUGAUAACUGAGUGAUUAUCAGUAUCUUUAAAAGACUAGAGAGGGGAAGCUAGGUAGUACAAUGGAUAGAGCACUGGCCCUGGAUUCAGGAGGACCUCAGUCCAAA